rnacentral:tRNA from 1 species
UCCCUUUAGGUGUGAGGCACAGGAAAAUUUGGUUUUCCAGGAGAUAAAGUCAUAGGGA